rnacentral:SRP_RNA from 1 species
CUCCCUGUCACAUCUGGGCUUAGGCAAGAAGUGUAACUAUUGUUGCUAUGUCCUAACACCUAUGUGGAUAGUUCAUCUCCCUUUAGCUUGCAGUCUGCAAGGCUAUCAUGGAGUAAUUCAUGAUAAUCUGGCAGGCAGUGACUGAGGGAUGGCUCAGGCUGGCAACAGAGCAGGCAAGACUCAGCCCUGCAUGCAGAUGGGAGAGA